UUUUUUUUUUUUUUUUAAAGUGAUCAGUUUAUCGAGGCUUCCUCUUUUUAUUAUAAUCCACCAUUGCUUUUCCAGAAGAUCUGGGUCUAUCGAGUGCUGGCACUGCCUCUUGCUGAUCUCCUGACUGUAGCUGGGGGCUCAGCAAAGCCUUCGCCCUGCGUACUCAUCUGUGAAAUGAGGCCCUUUUAAUCCCUGCCCUCCCCCCUGCCAGGCUGCUGCGUGUUGUGCAUGGGAAAACAUUCCUGAAAGUUCAUUUUAUGCUGAAAAGCUCUGCAGACAUCAUGGGUUUUGCUAGUGAAAGGCAACUAUCUGGAGCCCAGAACACUUGAAUGGAUGUGAGUGUUUCUGAGCAGCCAGUGUGUCCAGGGGAGGGGCUGGGGUGGCAUUAGGUGGGGCGUCUGCCCCGUAUGCCUGAGAUGCAGAGGGCCUCACCCAGCCGAGUCAGAGAAAUGAGCCAAGAAGUCCUCUAGCUGGUCCACAGCAAGGCUCAGAAAGGGGCGUUGGUCACCACAGACUGAUGGCCUGUUAUCUGUAGGUAGAGGCCAAUGGUUGGGGCUCCUAGAACUUCAUGAAUUUCCAUGUCUGCUACUUUGGGGGUCCUCGUCUGUUUUCCUAUAACAGGAGGCUUUAAAACAAGCAAAAGAUUGAGAAAAAGGCCCACACGCUUGAUGUGGAGAUAGAAGGAGGGGAGCCUAUGGAGACCGACAAAGGAAAGACAGCAUCCAGACCCAUGUGGUCCUCAGGCCCCAUGCUGGGGGAGCCAGGGGCUGGUGGCCCAGUGGCCUAAGCCCCUGGAGGAAUUCAUUACUGCUGGGAUUCAGGUGCCUGGGGACAUUUUAGCCAGGCUCUCCUGUCCUUCCCCAGGUGGGCUCUAACACAGCAACAGGGCCCCACCAUGGGGAGCAGUGUCUGGGCUUGGCUUGGAUUCCCCGGCUGCCACCUGGGACCUAAGCCGGGGUGGAGGCUUCUGUAUCCCCAGCAGCCCUACCUAGUUGGAGAUGGGGGAAGGAAGUUGGGGGGAGGCACUAGGCCACAGAUAGGAAGGUGGACAGACAUGGGAGGGUGAUAGCUGCCAAACGAGGGACAGUGGCCCACCCCACCCCCCACCAGAUAGUUUUGGUCGGGAGGCCUCUUGGCUGCAGGCAUGUUUUGCAUUUACUAGGUAUCCCCUGAUUCUGAGCGUUGGGUUUUUUCCUGAAGGGAGCAACUCACUUGGGAACUGGCUUGAAGGCAGUCCAUGGGGGCGGGGCAGAGUAGGUCCCACCCCACAGCCACCCCCAGCCCAGCUUGCAGAGGCUUCUCAGAGUCAGAGUGAGAUGGAGUGAGUCUCCAGCUUUCCUUUCAGGCACCAGGAUCAACUGGUCUGUCCGUGUUGCAGGAAGUUGCAGCUGCUAUUUUUACCAACUAGGAUUCUUUACUGGAAGAUACAAUUACCAGCAGAAUGUCAGGGUUUGGCCGGCCUGUGAGUCCUGGGAGGCUGCCGCAGGCCGAGUCAGGGACUGCAGCACGGUCAGUGGGCAUGUAAAGUGAGAUUCGUUUGCACGCAGACACAUACCUACCUCGGGUACCGGGUGGCUUCCUCUGAACCACUUGCAGUGUCUGGAGUUUUCCUCUAGGCAAAAAAGAGACCUUUGCUGGGAUUUGUCCAGAUUAGUGCACCUGAACACCUUAUAAUUGGCUGGUUCUGCAAUUAUGAAGGACACCUGGGGAGCUAUAAACCAUUCCUGACUGCCCAGGAAGUUGAAAUUUUGUUAAGCGAAAUUAUUGAGAAUCUGCAAUAUGAUAGUCACGCUGCUAAGUGCUAGAGAGGUUAAGACAGUCCCAGCCCUCACGUGUCACCCAUGCCUAUUAAGGAUGCAGAAAGUGCCAAUCCCCAAACCCUUCGGACAAGCACUUGGUGUGUUUUCAAUUUGUAUGCAUUAUUGCUGGAAGCCAAGCAGGGCUUAUGUUAGCUUCUGUUGCUGCGUAGCAGAUCACCCAAACUUGGUGGCUUAAACAAUGUCUAUAUAUUAGCUCACAGUUCUGUAGGUUGUUGCAGAAUCAAAUUCCUGGAGGUGGUAGGACUGAGGUCCCCCUCUCCUCCCUGGCAGUCAACUGGGUGCUGAUCUUGGCUCCUACUGGCUGCUGCUUUCCUUGCCACACCCCUCUCCAUCUCCUGGUCAGCAGCAGGACAUCAGAUCCUUUCCUGCUUCAAAUAUCUGACAUCCCCUUCUACAGUCAGCUGGAGCGAACGCUGCUGUAAAGGGCUUAUGUGAUUAGUUCAGGUCCACCGAGAGAAUUUCCCUCUUUUAGGGUAAGUAAACAUCAUUCAUUAUAUCUGCAGAUCUCUUUACCAUGUAGGUAACAUGGUCACAGAGUAAGACCAAGGAUGGCAAUCAUGGAACCAUCUUUGAAUUUUCUUACCAAAGGCUCAUGCCAGCAGGGGCUGUCACAACAUUGGUAACCUCGGCUCUCCUGAACAGAGUGGAUUCCCUGUGUCCUGCUGUGUUGAGCUCUUUACAUGGACCAUCUCAUUUAAUAACAUGUUGACAUAGGGACACCUGUUCCCCUAUCCCGAUUUUCCGGCGAGAAAACUGAGGGUCAGAGAUUGUUAGUAUCUGAGCCAAUCGUAUAGGUGGAAACAGCAGUGCCGGGGCCUUAGUGCCUAACCAUCUCAUCAGGCUGCUUGAGAUACCUAAACAUGGAGUUCCCAUCAUGGCUCAGUGGAAGCGAAUCUGACUAGUAUCCAUGAAGACACAGGUUCGAUCCCUGGUCUUGCUCAGUGGGUUCAGGAUCCAGCAUAGCCAUGAGCUGUGGUGUAGGUUGCAGGCACAGCUCAGAUCCUGAGUUGCUGUGGCUGUGGUAUAGACCAGCAGCUGCAGCUUCUAUUCUACCCCUAGCCUGGGAACCUCCAUAUGCUGCGG
rnacentral:lncRNA from 1 species